rnacentral:tRNA from 1 species
GUCCUGGUAGCUCAGCUGGAUAGAGCGACUGCCUUCUAAGCAGUAGGUCGACGGUCCGAGUCCGUCCCAGGACA